rnacentral:tRNA from 1 species
CAGGUGUAGCUCAAUGGUAGAGCGUCGGCUUCCCAAGCCGAUAACGUGGGUUCGAUUCCCAUCACCUG